AUUGAACGCUGGCGGAAUGCUUUACACAUGCAAGUCAAGCGGCAGCGCGGGGGAACCUGGCGGCGAGCGGCGAACGGGUGAGUAAUACAUCGGAACGUACCCGGUCGUGGGGGAUAACACAGCGAAAGUUGUGCCAAUACCGCAUACGACCUGAGGGUGAAAGUGGGGGACCGCAAGGCCUCACGCGAUUGGAGCGGCCGAUGGCGGAUUAGCUAGUUGGUGAGGUAAAGGCUCAACAAGGCGACGAUCCGUAGCGGGUCUGAGAGGACGGCCCGCCACACUGGAACUGAGACACGGUCCAGACUCCUACGGGAGGCAGCAGUGGGGAAUUUUGGACAAUGGGGGAAACCCUGAUCCAGCCAUUCCGCGUGAGUGAAGAAGGCCUUCGGGUUGUAAAGCUCUUUCGGCAGGAACGAAACGGUCGUCGCUAACAUCGAUGGCUAAUGACGGUACCUGAAGAAGAAGCACCGGCUAACUACGUGCCAGCCGCCGCCGUAA
rnacentral:rRNA from 1 species